UGACGAACGCUGGCGGCGUGCCUAAUACAUGCAAGUCGAGCGAGCGGAACUAACAGAUUUACUUCGGUAAUGACGUUAGGAAAGCGAGCGGCGGAUGGGUGAGUAACACGUGGGGAACCUGCCCCAUAGUCUGGGAUACCACUUGGAAACAGGUGCUAAUACCGGAUAAGAAAGCAGAUCGCAUGAUCAGCUUUUAAAAGGCGGCGUAAGCUGUCGCUAUGGGAUGGCCCCGCGGUGCAUUAGCUAGUUGGUAAGGUAAAGGCUUACCAAGGCGAUGAUGCAUAGCCGAGUUGAGAGACUGAUCGGCCACAUUGGGACUGAGACACGGCCCAAACUCCUACGGGAGGCAGCAGUAGGGAAUCUUCCACAAUGGACGCAAGUCUGAUGGAGCAACGCCGCGUGAGUGAAGAAGGUUUUCGGAUCGUAAAGCUCUGUUGUUGGUGAAGAAGGAUAGAGGUAGUAACUGGCCUUUAUUUGACGGUAAUCAACCAGAAAGUCACGGCUAACUACGUGCCAGCAGCCGCGGUAAUACGUAGGUGGCAAGCGUUGUCCGGAUUUAUUGGGCGUAAAGCGAGCGCAGGCGGAAGAAUAAGUCUGAUGUGAAAGCCCUCGGCUUAACCGAGGAACUGCAUCGGAAACUGUUUUUCUUGAGUGCAGAAGAGGAGAGUGGAACUCCAUGCGUAGCGGUGGAAUGCGUAGAUAUAUGGAAGAACACCAGUGGCGAAGGCGGCUCUCUGGUCUGCAACUGACGCUGAGGCUCGAAAGCAUGGGUAGCGAACAGGAUUAGAUACCCUGGUAGUCCAUGCCGUAAACGAUGAGUGCUAAGUGUUGGGAGGUUUCCGCCUCUCAGUGCUGCAGCUAACGCAUUAAGCACUCCGCCUGGGGAGUACGACCGCAAGGUUGAAACUCAAAGGAAUUGACGGGGGCCCGCACAAGCGGUGGAGCAUGUGGUUUAAUUCGAAGCAACGCGAAGAACCUUACCAGGUCUUGACAUCUAGUGUCAUUUGUAGAGAUACAAAGUUCCCUUCGGGGACGCUAAGACAGGUGGUGCAUGGCUGUCGUCAGCUCGUGUCGUGAGAUGUUGGGUUAAGUCCCGCAACGAGCGCAACCCUUGUUAUUAGUUGCCAGCAUUAAGUUGGGCACUCUAAUGAGACUGCCGGUGACAAACCGGAGGAAGGUGGGGAUGACGUCAAGUCAUCAUGCCCCUUAUGACCUGGGCUACACACGUGCUACAAUGGGCAGUACAACGAGAAGCGAGCCUGCGAAGGCAAGCGAAUCUCUGAAAGCUGUUCUCAGUUCGGACUGCAGUCUGCAACUCGACUGCACGAAGCUGGAAUCGCUAGUAAUCGCGGAUCAGCACGCCGCGGUGAAUACGUUCCCGGGCCUUGUACACACCGCCCGUCACACCAUGGGAGACUGCAAUGCCCAAAGCCGGUGGCCUAACCUUCGGGAAGGAGCCGUCUAAGGCAGGGCA
rnacentral:rRNA from 1 species